CGCAGAUUUGGGGGGUCAAGGAACUUCCGCAAUCGAUCGGGAUCUUCCGGAAACUGGUUAAUGUCGGGUUAUUUGGAUCCUACGUUUCACCUGCCAAUUCCGGGGGAGGAAAACGAUCACAGAGGGACAUCUGGAGGAACCGGGGAGGAAUCAAAUGAAAAAUGACGCUGUUUCCCUGAGUGAAAUGCAGUGAUCUGUCCUUUCCACUCCUGCCCUGCCCUCCGAUCUCAAGUCUUUAAGCUGGAUAAUGACCGUCUGGGAGGUGGUUUAAAUAUUUGGGGGGGGAAGGGCGGGGGAUAACACUGGGCUCAUUUACAGAACAAACCAGCUGAUUGUGCCAGAUGUGACUGGGGCUCGCCCAAACUCCCCGCGUGUUUCGCUUCAGCCCAGCGACAGCAGGGAGCGGGGCAGGUUCUCGGCCCCGGGGAGACUCGGUUCUGGGGGCCGCCCCCCGGAGCUAAUGUCUGCGGAACCAGAGGGCCGAAGGAUGUGGCCACGCAGCCUCGGACAGAGAGCGGAAAGGAGCUGGGCUAGCAGAUUCACCUUAAGAAGGAUGCACAGACAAGGGGGAGUUUACCCCUUUAAAAAAAAAAAAGGCAAGCCUUGGACUGGGGAAAGAUUUUACUGGCUUUGCCUUUCAACAUCUAAUCAGAGCGUUCUGCUAAAUAUGGGUCAGAGGCGCCUGUUUUAACUACGGCACCCACAGGGGGGUGAUUCUACUUCUGCCCAGUCCCACGUGAACAAACCGCAGUGGCGGCAGAAAUCAGCCUGGUGGGUUGGUUGGGUUUUCACAGCUCUAAUAAUGUUCUGACUGUGGCAGGGGAGGGGGAAAUUAUCUAACCCGCCUACAGGUGUCGCUGUUUUCGACAGCGCUUUAGAACAGACCCGGUUUGCUUUUGGGUGCGCGCCUUUAAAGUGACCGGGCCGAAGGUGCUCGUGGAAAUGAGACCGCGAGGAAGGUCUGCGAACCUGUUCCCAACUGGAUCCUUGGUGGCUUUUCCUUUCUUUUCUAUUGUAUUAACCCCCCCUCCCCCCUUGUUCGUAGCCUGAGUCAGGGAGCAGGGAGCCUCGCGGGGCUCCAGCCCUGGUUCAAGGACAAACCC